rnacentral:rRNA from 1 species
UACGAAGGGGGCUAGCGUUGCUCGGAAUUACUGGGCGUAAAGCGCACGUAGGCGGCUUUCUAAGUCGGUGGUGAAAUCCUGGAGCUCAACUCCAGAACUGCCUUUGAUACUGACGGUCUUGAGUUCGGGAGAGGUGAGUGGAACUGCGAGUGUAGAGGUGAAAUUCGUAGAUAUUCGCAAGAACACCAGUGGCGAAGGCGGCUCACUGGCCCGAUACUGACGCUGAGGUGCGAAAGCGUGGGGAGCAAACAGG